AGGUUGGAGGUGUAAGUACAGUAAUGUAUUCAGCUGACCAAUACUAAUAGGUCGAGGGCUUGAUCAAAUAUUUAUUAU
rnacentral:rRNA from 1 species